UGAAAGGAUUUUGGCUAUAGAGACCCAGCAACGCCGAAAAAAUUUAUUGCUUUUAUCUCUUUUUUUAUUGUAUACCAAAAAGGAUUCUAGAAAGUAUACCCCAAAACGAUUUUGGAUCAGAGAUAUUUUCAGGAAACCUAAAGAACAAGGUCUACCAUCAAUUACUUAAUGAAAUGAGCCUUUCAGACACAGAAAAAUAUUUUAAUUAUUUGAGAAUUACAUGUGAGACUUUUAAUACCCUUUAAUUAAAUAUUGUGGGACCUAAAUUAACAAAACUCUAUUGUGUAAGAGAGCCAAUAUCUAGUGGUGAACGACUUGCAGUUACAUUAAGGCAUGUAUAAGAUUACUUUUUUAUUAUUAAGGAAAUAUUUUCAUUAAAAGAUUCUUAAAAAUUGACAGACCUAUUAUAUACAAGUAUUGAUCAUAAAUUUUAUUAAUUGCUUCAUUAUUUAAUUUUCUAUACAACUUAUUCUUUAUGCAUUCACUGUGUAAAUACUUCUAAUAUACAUUUAAGGAAAACUUAAAUUGUACUAUUUUAUUUACAGGUACCUUGCUAGUGGCAAUAGUAUGGUCUCUCUUUCAUAUGCAUUUAGAAUUGCUCAGAGUACAGUAUCAAGUAUUAUACUUGAAACUUGCAAUGUUUUGUGGGAUUUAUUAAGUGACAAAGUGCUCUGUAUUCCAAAUGAACAAACCUGGCUAAUCAUUCAUUAAAACUGCAGGGCAAAGUGGUUCAGUUUGCUGAUGAUACCACCAUUUUAUGGAAUCAUAGAGAUUCUGAUAAUGUUAGAGCCCAGGUUUUUAAGGAUCUUAAGAUUUUAUCGGAGUGGUGUGCUGCAAACAGGCUUGUAUUUAAUGUGGGCAAAACCUUUAUUAUGGGAUUGAAGUGUGACGUUCAGGGCCUUAUGUUUAGUGAAAACUCCCCCUUGCAAAACAAAGAAAGCUGUAAGUUCCUUGGUAUUACCAUUGAUGGUCGCCUUUGCUUCGAAGAUCAUAUCCUAAAUCUUGCAUCAAAAUUAUCCUCUGGAUGCUUUGCAGUAAGAAUGGCGGGGCAUGAGCUGGGAGGGGUAGUUGCACAUUCAGUGUACUUUUCUCUUAUUGAGUCCCACCUUCGUUAUGGCUUGCCUUUUUGGGGUUUAACCAACAAGGGAUUAUUAAACAUAAUUUUUGUGAUUCAAAAAAAGGCAGUUAGAUACCUAUGUUCCUCUGGGUUAAGAGAUUCUUGUAAACCUCUCUUUAUAUCUCAAAAAAUCCUAACUCUUUUUUCUCUUUUCAUCUUAGAAACAGCUACUCUUAUUCAUAAAUGUCCUAAACCUCCCUCUAACACUGGUCAUAUGACUCACCAGGUUAACAAUUUUCCCUUACCAAUCCCUACAUCCUCCCUCACCAAGAACUCACUUAUAUACCUUAGCAAAAAAACUUACAACCAUGUUCCUCUAUGUAUCAGACAAAUUUUAGAAGUUAAGAGAUUCAAAAAGGAAUUAAAAUCACUUUUAUUAUCCAGGGCAUAUUAUAGCCUUAACGAUUUUUUUAAUGAUACCUUUUAACCUGUGCUCUGACAUCAUUUUAGUGUUUUAGUUUUGUUUCCUGUUAAAUAAUUUAAUUUACUUCUUCUAAAUUCUGUUUUAUUGACAGCUUUACUUAUUUUUUAAUGAAAUUUAUCAAAAAGAUGCUUUUUUUUUCUCAAUCUGUUUUGUUAUGAUUAAUUUUGGUAAUGUGUGUAAAUUUUAUGGUAAAGUGUUUUAGAUGUUAUGUUUGUUUGAAAUUUGAAAUUUAAAGUGAAUUUGGAAUUUUUUAGUUUUUAGGAUGCUUGUACACAAGAUUUUGUUGUCUUACGUAAUAUAGCACAUUUUCUUUCUUUCUUUCUUUCUUUCUUUCUUUCUUUCUUUCUUUCUUUCUUUCUAUUGCUGGUAAUUUUGCAGAAAGGUGGCAAUUACCUCAUUGCAUUGGAGCAGUUGAUGGGUAACAUGUUGUAAUUCAAGUAGGCUCCACCAAAUUCAGGAUCAACAUUUUAUAAUUAUAAAGGAUCUCAUAGCAUUGUUCUCUUAGCAUUAUGUGAUGCUAAAUAUAAAUUCAUAAUGGUUGACAUUGGCAGUGAAGAGAGACACAGUGAUGGAGGGAUUUUUAAAAACUCCAACAUGGGAAAAGGGCCUUUAGAAAACUCACUUAAUGUUCCAGAACCCUCUAUUUUGAUAGAUAAUGAAGAUCCUUUAAAUUAUUAUAUCAUUGCUGAUGAAGCUUUUCCCCUAUCCACUUACAUUAUGCGUCCAUAUUCUGGUAAAUUUUUGCCACAAGAUAAAAGAAUUUUUAAUUACAGGCUUUCUAGAGGGGGCAGAGUGAUUGAAAACGCAUUUGGGAUACUAGCUGCUCGUUGGAGAAUAUAUAGAAAUGUUAUUAUAUGUAGUCAACCAACCAUAAUUGCCAUAGUGAAAGCUACAAUUUGCUUACACAAUUUCAUAAUUGAUAAUGAGUAAAAUAAAGAAAAGCAGUAUUGUAGUGCGACAAUUAUUGAUAGGGAAGAUGAAAAAGGAAAUAUUAUUGAAGGAGACUGGAGACGUGAACCUAGGCUAGACCUCCUGCCUGUAAACAGGACAAGCACUAAUAUGUAUGGCAGAGCAGCAGAAAAUAUGAGGAACAGAUUAAAAAAAUAUUUUAUGGAAGAUGGAGCAGUCACUUUCCAAUGGAAUAAAUAGCUUAACAGUUACAAAAUAACUGGAAUGAAGGCCUAAUUACUUUUAGUAAUUUUUUCAUCUUAAUCUUAAUAAAGACUGUAAUCCAUUUCUAAUAUUUUCAC